CGGGAGGGGGCCGUGGGCGCCCGUAACCGGGAAGGAGCGGGUUUUGAUUGGUCGAGAAGGCGAGAGGUGAAAGGGCGGCCCAGUCCGCCGAGCAGAGCUCGCAGGCGAAGGCAGCGGGGCCGAGAAUGAUGGCGGCAGCGGCUUCCUUGUGCCGGGCUGGCGUGUGGCAGCAGCGGCAGCAACACCGACUUCUGAGGCGGCUGAUCGUGGCGCGACCGGGUUUUUCCCAGCUUACCACAGGGAGAUUGUGCCUUAUUACUUCUCGCAGUUUGCACUUAGGAACAUAUGAUCCAAAUGAAAAGACUUUUGAGAAGCUUCUUAUUGCCAACAGAGGUGAAAUUGCUUGUAGGGUCAUCAAAACAUGCAGGAAAAUGGGAAUUAAAACUGUUGCUAUACACAGUGAUGUUGAUUCCAAUGCGGUCCAUGUGAAAAUGGCGGAUGAAGCAGUCUGUGUUGGCCCAGCUCCCACUAGUAAAAGCUACCUCAACAUGGAUGCUAUCAUGGAAGCCAUUAAAAAAACCCGGGCCCAAGCUGUACACCCAGGAUAUGGAUUCCUUUCAGAAAAUAAAGAAUUUUCUAGGUGCCUGGUGUCGGAAAAUGUUGCUUUCAUUGGACCAGACAUGCAUGCUAUUCAAGCAAUGGGGGACAAGAUAGAAAGUAAACUGUUAGCCAAGAAGGCAAAGGUCAACACAAUACCUGGUUAUGAUGGAGUGGUCAAGGAUGCUGAUGAAGCUGUCAGAAUCGCAAGGGAAAUUGGCUACCCUGUCAUGAUCAAGGCUUCAGCAGGUGGUGGAGGAAAAGGCAUGAGAAUUGCAUGGAAUGAUGAAGAGACCAGGGAAGGCUUUAGGUUUUCAUCUCAAGAAGCUGCUUCAAGUUUUGGUGAUGAUCGAUUGUUAAUAGAAAAGUUUAUUGAUAACCCUCGUCACAUAGAAAUUCAGGUAUUGGCUGAUAAACAUGACAAUGCAUUGUGGCUGAAUGAAAGAGAAUGUUCUAUUCAGAGGAGAAAUCAGAAAGUUAUUGAAGAAGCACCAAGCACUUUCUUGGAUCACGAGACACGCAGAGCUAUGGGAGAACAAGCAGUUGCUCUUGCCAAAGCUGUCAAAUACUCAUCUGCUGGAACAGUGGAAUUCCUUGUGGACUCAAAAAAGAAUUUCUAUUUCUUGGAAAUGAACACUAGACUUCAGGUUGAACAUCCCAUCACAGAAUGCAUUACCGGUUUGGACCUGGUCCAAGAAAUGAUCCGUGUUGCCAAGGGUUACCCUCUCAGGCACAAACAGACUGAUAUUCCCAUCAAUGGCUGGGCAGUUGAAUGUCGAGUAUAUGCUGAGGAUCCCUACAAAUCUUUUGGUCUGCCCUCUGUUGGUAGAUUGUCUCAGUACAAAGAGCCACUGCAUGUGCCCAAUGUCCGUAUUGACAGUGGCAUAGAUCAAGGAAGUGAAAUCAGCAUCUAUUAUGAUCCCAUGAUUUCAAAAUUGAUCACCUAUGGAUCUAAUAGAGCUGAAGCUUUGCAAAAAAUGGAAGAGGCUUUGGAUAAUUAUGUUAUAAGAGGUGUAGCCCACAAUAUACCUCUGUUACGUGAAGUGAUAACACAUCCACACUUUGUGCAGGGAGACAUCAGCACUAAAUUUCUUUCUGAUGUGUAUCCUGAUGGCUUUAAAGGACACAAGUUGAAAGACUCUGAAGAAAGGGAGCUACUAGUAAUGGCAACAUCUCUGUAUGUGGCUGAACAACUAAGAUCACAGAGAUUCCUGGGAACUCAAAGGGUUUCCAUUUCUGAACCUGGCACAAGAAACUGGGAGUUAUCAGUCCAGCUGGGAGACACAACUCAUUCAGUCGUUGUUUCCUGUCAAGGGUCAACAUUCUCAGUGAACAUCGAUGGGAUAAAACUUAGUGUGACUAGUGACUGGAACUUGGCUUCAGCCCUAUUGUCUGUUAAUGUGGAUGGUAUUAAGAGAACCAUACAGUGCCUUUCACGGGAUGCAAGUGGAAAUCUUAGCAUUCAAUAUCUUGGUACAGUGUACAAAUUACGUGUACUGCCCAAGCUUGCUGCGGAGCUGAGCAAAUACAUGCCAGAGAAGGUAGCAGAAGAUUCCACUAGCAUCCUGAGAUCACCAAUGCCUGGUGCAGUGGUGGCAGUCUCUGUCAAGCCUGGCGAUAUGGUUGCAGAAGGUCAGGAGAUCUGUGUGAUUGAAGCUAUGAAAAUGCAGAACAGUUUGGUUGCUGCUAAAACUGGCAAGAAAUCUCCUAAAUAUGCCAUGCACAAUUGGAUUUUUGGACCACAGUUCUUUUGAUUCCACCUCUCACAUUGAGAUCUGCUCUCUGCUCCUCCCCACGCCAAAUUUUUAAAAUGGUUUGAUACAGUCACAAGAUCCCUGAAACUGUAGACUGUGAAGUAAUUACAGGUGAAAGCCGUGUACUGCAAAGCUGGUGAAACAGUUGGGGAAGGCGAUGAGCUUGUGCAACUGGAAUGAAACCAUUUCUUCCAGAGUCGCGUUAACACUUUAAUGUCACAUUCAUUCAUUCAUGAAUGAUAAGCUAGCAAGAGAAUUAUGUGAACACAAUUGUUGCUUUUUUUUAAUGAUCUGUGUUGCACAAGAGGCAAGGGGCCAUAUCUUUAACCUGCACAGACUUAAAUUAAAAUUGCCUCUAGAGCAGAUUUCACUCCUUUAUAAACACCUGUAUAUAUGAGAUUUGUAAUUCUCACUGGUGGUUCCACUGAUAUGAGAGACAUCAAUAAAGCUAAGCAUUUUGCCUUUUAAA